rnacentral:lncRNA from 1 species
GAAAGCCACUACAGCAAGUGGUGACAAGGAGGUGGCGCGUCUUUACGGUGGCACUUCCGAUGUGAGGAGUUAUAAUAACAUUCUUCAGUUUUAACAACAGGUGAUCCCUGGGGAUGGAAAAGAAAUACCGAGGUGAGAGUCACUCACAGAGCGUGUUUCUUCAGAACUUGAAGGAAAGCAGGGAAAUGUUUAAAAUAAUAACUGAAACAAAAGAAUAAUGGUGUGACCCAAGCAUACUCAAGACUUCAAACUGAAACCUGGCUUGCAGCUUUUUAUGCAACAAAUUCUCCAAAUGAGUCAGCAUGGAUUUUGCUUUGCUGCUGUAGAGGGACUGGGGACAUCAUUUCAGUAGGACAAGCAACAAAAUUACACAGUUUCUUACACGCUCACAAACUUUUUCUUAUUUUGCAGCACACACACUCACUUCUAUUUAACUUAAAAAAUAUAUCCAACCUUGGCAAAGGUUCAGGAUAUGUCACAUCCAGAGCAGCUGCCUUAAUAACUUUGUUCUGAAGGGCCUCCACCAAAGCAUCCUGAUCUACAACCAGACCUGAGUGACAGAAGAAAAAAAAACAACCCAACUCUUGUUUUCAUAUUGCCACACAAUUCUCUAUCUCUAUCAUCUUUUAUGGCACGGUGAUAAGGCAAACUGUCAGGCUAGUAAUAUUCACAAGGCAGAAGAAGCAGCACAGGGUGGUGAACCAGGAAGAGGAAGCUUGGGUAUGCACAUGAGAGCUGGACAGUCAGGAAUUUUAAAAGGCUAUGUAAUAGCAUAAAACAAAGUGCAGUGCCAGUCUUCAGAGUGGAUAUAUGUUAUCGAGAACACUGCAUUCAACAGCAGACAAAAUAAAAACCUAAAGUAAGACACUGUAUGAAUACACAGACUUCUAACACUCCAAACUCAGUAACAUUUUAGAGACACACUUGCUCGUUAUGGAAAUGCUUGAAUGUUUGACUGAGAUAUGACCAUGAGCUAAAUAAUCUUGUAAUCAGAGAUUUAACUGAACAUUUGAGAGUAAAAGACACUUUAUUAGG